rnacentral:lncRNA from 1 species
GAGGGAUGAGGGAAAUACCAUUAGGAGAUAUAUAUAUAUUUGGGGGAAGACCACCUCAAAUGGAGGGAAAAGUAUGUAUAAAGGCUCUGAGGAAGGUCAUGUUUUCACCUUUCUCUGACCAAACAUUCCUUCCCCCACAUAAGUGCACUUGAUCUGAAUUUCUGUAGCAGCCUAUAAUAGCCUUACCACAUUUGGAACUGUUCAUGGUAUAGUUAGAUCUAUACUUGACUCACUGCCCCUUACUUUACAGGCCCUGGACUAUUAGAGGUGAGGUUUAUCUAAAUUCCUACCAUAUUUGUAGGGUCUAGUUAAGUGCCUGGCAUACUCUACAUUCUCAAAUAUUUAACUUGGCUCCUAUGCCCAACUUGACAAGUACAAGGAGCAGCAUCAUUAAUGAAUUCACUUAAUUGAAUUAUAUAUGGCAUUCAGGUGAGUCGAAUUAUAUAUGGCAUUCAGGUGAGUCACCUGCUCAUAGGAGCAGCAAUGUUAAGAGCCUAGGUUCAAAUCCCUAUAUGUGAUCUUGUAAGUUACUUCUUAAUCUUCAUUUCUAAAAACUAGUCAUACAUAAUAUAUAUAACUGCAUUGUCAGUAGUAAAUGCUCAGUAAAUUUUAUUAUAUUAGUGGUACUCAUUUUUAUAAUAUAUGGUAAUUAAAGAGAACAAAGUCACAAUAUCGGUAUUUAGUAUUUAUAUAAUACUAGAAUAGCUUUGGUCUUUAUUUACAAAGUAGACAAAACAGUGGUUGUGACCAUAUAACUCAUUGCCUACAUUUCAAGUGCUCUGUAACUGGCUACAGACAGCAAAAGAUGGAGUACACUUCUUGUAGAGAUUAUGUAGUAUAGCCAUCUUAUUUCUCAGAAAAUAUCAGAACUAGAUAGUGUGGUAGGCUGAAUUAACAGGUUUCUCUGGAACCUGAAAAUGUUAGCUGGUUUGCAGAUAGGAUUAGAUUAAGGGUUUGGGGAUGUGGAGAUUAUCCUGGAUAAUCCUAGUGGACCCUAAAUGCAAUCACAAAGCCUGUGUUGGCUUUCAUCACUGUAGCCAAAAUACACUACUCAACAAGAACAGCUUAAAAAAGAAAGAAGUUACUUUGGACUUACGAUUUCAUUCAUGAUCAAUCAGUUUCAUCACUAUGGGCCCAAGGUGAGGCAGAAUAUCAUGGUGAUCAGGAAGCAGGAAGGGAAGGGGCUGAAGGGAAGAUGUUCCCUUCUGGGGCAUGUCCCCAGUGACCCACCUCCUCCAACCAUGCCAUACCUACCUAUAGAUAACACCCAGUCAGCCCAUUCAAAGUAGGAUGGACUGAUUAGGUUCUAGGUCUCAAUCUAUUCAUUUUACCUCUGAAUACUCCAGGAUCAACAGGAUGGGGGGGUGCCCUCAUAAGGGAGAUUCCUUACAUAUAGAGGGCAGUCAUGAAGACAAAACACAUGUUUGAAGAUACUGGUCUUGGAGUGAGGGAGCCACCGGAAGCUAGAAGAUGCAAGGAACAUUCUCCACUCGACCCUCCUGAGGCAGCAUGUACUUGGCUUUCAGACUUUUAAUCUUCAGAAAGGAGUGAAUAAAUUUGUUUCAACCCAUCAAGUUUGUG